rnacentral:rRNA from 1 species
CUAUGCGCCUUGCCAGCCCGCUCAGGUGUGCCAGCCGCCGCGGUAAUACGUAGGUGGCAAGCGUUGUCCGGAUUUAUUGGGCGUAAAGCGAGUGCAGGCGGUUCAAUAAGUCUGAUGUGAAAGCCUUCGGCUCAACCGGAGAAUUGCAUCAGAAACUGUUGAACUUGACGUGCAGAAGAGGAGAGUGGAACUCCAUGUGUAGCGGUGGAAUGCGUAGAUAUAUGGAAGAACACCAGUGGCGAAGGCGGCUCUCUGGUCUGCAACUGACGCUGAGGCUCGAAAGCAUGGUAGCGAACAGG